rnacentral:sRNA from 1 species
CACGGAGGGGAGGGGGCGGGAGGGGGGUGGGGUAUCCUGAGUCGUCCGUGGUCCGGAGUCUGGAAGGCCCUAGAGCGGCGCCAGUCGACCCGCCUCGCCACAACUUGCCCAGACCAGACACGUUUCAUCCUGCGCCCUGCAAGAAGGAGUCGGCCUGCCUUUCUCCGCUUUGCUGCUCCUCGGCCUCCGCGGGCCCGGCCCGCGUCAGCAGCGACCCUGGGGUCUGGGUCCCCUGUGUCGCCCCCGCCCGCCUGCAGCGCCCGGCACCCGCCCAGGAGCGCGCAGCUGGGGUGCUAGGGACAUAUACUUGAGCAAGAGAGACCACAGCUCUUGUUCCCGCUGAUCCUGCAGCCCAGUGGAUGGAGUCCAGAAUCUACAGACCUGCCAGGAAAGAAAAAAAAUUCCUGAUGUCUGGUCCAAGCAGGAAUUCCCCGGUGGAUUGGGGAAUGUCUGGCUUUUCCUCAGCUUAUUGAUCUCUGUGGUAACCACUGGAGGCCCCCAGAAGACCCAUAGAAAUGAGAGGCCUGAGGUCUACAAGUCGCUGCUAGAAAUAUUUUAGCCUCUCCAAAGCCCAGAAUGCAGCCCCGACCCAAGUUUGUAAGGGUUCUGGGUGCACGCUGACCCUGCGCGGGCAGACGCGCCCUUUGCUCCAGGUCCGGACCUGGGCGCUGCUAUAGCAACGUCCUGGACGCCCAGACCUUAGGCCGCCGCCGCCGCGGAAGCGAGGAACCCGGCCUUCUCCCGCUCCUGAGGGCUGUGGCGGCGGCGGCCCGGGAGGCGGCCCAGGCAGGGUAAAGACCGCCCGGCUCCUCCUAUGCAAGCUGAGGCAGCGGAUUGAUUUUCAAGCAUGCCCUUCCAGAAGCAUGUCUACUACCCGCUCACCAGCGGCCCAGAGGGGCCCGACGUCGCUGUGGCCGCCGCCGCCGCGGGUGCGGCCUCCAUGGCCUGUGCGCCCCCCAGCGCGGCUUCGGGGCCCCUGCCCUUCUUCCAGUUCAGGCCGCGGCUGGAGAGUGUGGACUGGCGGCGGCUGAGCGCCAUCGACGUGGACAAGGUGGCGGGGGCUGUGGACGUGCUGACGCUGCAGGAGAACAUCAUGAACAUCACCUUCUGCAAGCUGGAAGACGAGAAGUGCCCACACUGCCAGUCGGGGGUGGACCCGGUGCUGCUGAAGCUCAUCCGUCUGGCGCAGUUCACCAUCGAGUACUUGCUGCACUCACAAGAGUUCCUCACCUCGCAGCUGCACACCCUGGAGGAGCGGCUGCGCCUGAGCCACUGUGACAGCGAGCAGAGCAAGAAGCUGCUCACCAAGCAGGCGGGGGAGAUCAAGACGCUCAAGGAAGAGUGCAAACGCAGGAAGAAGAUGAUCUCCACCCAGCAGCUGAUGAUCGAGGCCAAAGCCAACUAUUACCAGGAUUGUCAAAAUGAUUUUUCUUACCCAGAAGGCCCAAGAGUUCUGCAUUUCUUCAACUCUAUCAAGUUUGAAAGACAUAUUGGAUGAAGAAUAUUCUUAGUCACACUUUCCCUCUGAACUUUUUGAUGUGGUUCCUUUGUCUUCUGGCAGUAAAUGUUGCUGUGAGAA